UGAAAACUGAAAUUGGCUGUCGUAAAAACAAGACUAAAGAUUUAGUACUUACCUGACAUUUAUGCAAAUUGAAACUGAAAGGACAAAAUAAUAUUUUUUGUGUGAAAAAACUCGUUCUGUCGGUGUCUUUACAAUAUUCCUAUUCAAAGGGCCCACGUAAUAUUAAUUGCCCGUUUCAAAAUGUGUCUUAGAAGCUAUCUUAAAAGGCUGUUUUCUGUAAUUAUCUUCGUGUCUUUGCUGACGUUGGGGCAAUCACGUCCAAACGAUGAUGAAACUACUGUGACUACAACUGAUGAAACUACUGCGCCUACAGCUGAUGAAACUACUGCGGCUACAGCUGAUGAAACUACUGCGGCUACAGCUGAUGAAAUUACUGCGGCUACAG